UCCCCGCUGGUGCAACUGGCAGCACACCGCGCUCUGGACGCGGAGGUUCGUGGUUCGAAUCCACGGUGGGGAG
rnacentral:tRNA from 2 species